GCGCUAGCUGGGCUCGGCUCCGCACUGCUAGCUGCGCGCCGCCCUGGACGGGGCGCACCGACUGCGCGCGCGGCUGCGGGCAAACAUCGGGAGUCCUGCCUCAGCUGCCGCUUCUCCAGCAGCAGCUUCAGGCUUCUCCCGCAGGAGCUUCGGGCUUCUCCUGGUAGAGACGUGGGAACUUUUCUUCUCCUGGCGAGGCUGCAGAGGUGAUGGGCCGCUCCCGGGGCUCCCGCGGGGAGGCGGCACGGUCUUCUGAGCUACGAUAAUUUUUUGGAACGGCAGAAAUGAUUGGUUCUAGCAACAGAUGGGAAUUUGGAGUCACUCUGAAAUAUAUCCUGGAAUAAGUGUGUUUGACUAGAACCACAUCUUAUGAGGUCCCCAAGGAUGAGAGUCUGUGCUAAGUCAGUGUUGCUGUCGCACUGGCUCUUUCUAGCCUACGUGUUAAUGGUGUGCUGUAAGCUGAUGUCCGCCUCAAGCCAGCACCUCCGGGGACAUGCAGGUCACCACCAAAUCAAGCAAGGGACCUGUGAGGUGGUCGCCGUGCACAGGUGCUGCAAUAAGAACCGCAUAGAAGAGCGGUCACAAACGGUCAAGUGCUCUUG
rnacentral:lncRNA from 1 species